AUUGAACGCUGGCGGCAGGCCUAACACAUGCAAGUCGAACGAGUGGCGGACGGGUGAGUAAUGCCUGGGAAACUGGCUGAUGGAGGGGGAUAACUACGGGAAACCGUAGCUAAUACCGCGUACCAUAGGAUGAGCCCAGAUGGGAUUAGCUUGUUGGUGAGGUAACGGCUCACCAAGCCGACGAUCCCUAGCUGGUCUGAGAGGAUGACCAGCCACACUGGGACUGAGACACUGCCCAGACUCCUACGGGAGGCAGCAGUGGGGAAUAUUGCGCAAUGGGCGCAACCCUGACGCAGCCAGGCCGCGUGUAUGAAGAAGGCCUUCGGGUUGUAAAGUUCUUUCGGUGUGGAGGCGUUACCUGCAGAAGAAGCACCGGCUAACUCCGUGCCAGCCGCCGCGGUAAUAC
rnacentral:rRNA from 1 species